AGUUGUAAUUUCUAAGGAUCUGUUAAACUAUGAACUGGUAAUUAGCCAGUUUGUGUCCUUCAUCCUGUGCAACCUCUGCAGUCCUUGUUGGUCAGUGUGCAGGCAUUCAAAAUGAGCACUAAUGCUGGGAAGAGGCUGGUUAUUGUGUGUAGCUGAGGCGGGGCCUUUGGCAUCUGACAGUGAAGACCAGUCAUACAAAACAGCAACAUCUGAGCACAACCCAGGGUGACUGAAGUAAUGUUUAGCGGUCGUAAUGGUCCUGCGCUUGGCCAGUCACUGCCUACGGCUGUGGCUAGGGUGUAGUGGGUGUGAUAUUCCCUGCUUGUAUAACUAUCAUUUUGUGUGCUGCUUAGUCUGGCAAUGGUAAUGGUUAAUGAUGUCUCUGCUGGAAAAACUCCUCCCUGCACUCAGCAUCAACAACAGACUGUCUCUCUUUAGUUCUUAACAAGAUGGCUGGCAAGGUUGGUUCAUUUUGCUGCAUCUGAAGUCUCGGGGAACAUCUGGAGCAACCUCAGCUGUGACUUUCCAGUUAUAAAGAACAGGCAGAUCUCCCAACACCACAGGAAAAGGUCACACGUCUGCAGCCUCAACAUUCAGCAACUGACUCAUCAGCAUCCCUGUAUAGUCCACCACCUCCAGCCUCAACAGAAGAAUGAGGCAGAAACCCAGUCAUAUUUCUACAGGCAGCUCUAAUUCUCUCAAAGGUAAGGAGGAAAGUAGGCUCAAUAUUUUCUGCAAAUUUUUGUAACCUUGGCUCAUGAGGUUUUUGACUGACCUGUGGGAAUACUGACUCUUUUAUUUUGUGGUGGGUGUCUUAUCUUGGACCUGGUGGUGGUUUACCACCAGAUCACAGCUUCCUGUGGUUCUGGAUCAGCUGAAGUGGGCUCUGGGAAGAGAUGCCUGUGCUUUCUUUAAGAGCUAAAACGGUUGCAAAGCCUUAAAAACACUGUUUUUGCGUUAGAAACUUGUUUCAAUUUUACCAGGCAUCAAGGCCUGAAUGAUCAUGGCAAGUUCCUUUAGUGUUGGCUAAUUGAUAUCUUCAUCCACAGCGCCUGGUGCCAUAUUAGAAACAACAUCAAAGUAGAAAAAAAAUAGUUAUAAAAAGAGAAAGGUGGCUGAUCACUGCACUGCCACCAUGUGUGAGUCAUGUAGUAGGUUUUGGAACAGUGGGCUUUAUUUUCACCCCCAAAAUAAAAUAUUUUUUCCAAAGUCAAGUAUAGUUCUAGACCCUUAAAAGAGGUCAGCUACACUGAAGCUCUAAUGAAGCACCAGGAUACAAAAUAACAAACAAACCAAGUAUGGAUCAUUUUGGUACUGGCCAAUUUAGGCAAUCAAGUGGAUCAAACUCUGAAAAACUAUCUAAUAACAAAGAAACAAAAACAAAGGCUUUUUAAAUAGUUAUUUAUGUAAAAAUCGUCAUAUUCAAAAUAACUAACUAAGGAAGCAAAGAAAAUCAACAACAUAUUUAAGUUAAAUACCCCCCUCCCCUCCCC
rnacentral:lncRNA from 1 species